GCUUACGGCCAUACCACCCUGAGAACGCCCGAUCUUGUCUGAUCUCGGAAGCUAAGCAGGGUCGGGCCUGGUUAGUACUUGGAUGGGAGACCGCCUGGGAAUACCAGGUGCUGUAAGCU
ensembl:rRNA 5S_rRNA 5S ribosomal RNA